UACGUAGGGGGCAAGCGUUGUUCGGAUUCAUUGGGCGUAAAGAGCGUGUAGGCGGCCCGGUAAGUCCGCUGUGAAAGUCCAGGGCUCAACCCUGGGAUGCCGGUGGAUACUGUCGGGCUCGAGUCCGGAAGAGGCGAGUGGAAUUCCUGGUGUAGCGGUGAAAUGCGCAGAUAUCAGGAGGAACACCAAUGGCGAAGGCAGCUCGCUGGGACGUGACUGACGCUGAGACGCGAAAGCGUGGGGAGCAAACAGG
rnacentral:rRNA from 1 species